rnacentral:rRNA from 1 species
UACGAAGGGUGCAAGCGUUACUCGGAAUUACUGGGCGUAAAGCGUGCGCAGGCGGUUUUGUAAGUCUGUCGUGAAAUCCCCGGGCUCAACCUGGGAAUUGCGAUGGAGACUGCAAGGCUAGAAUCUGGCAGAGGGGGAUGGAAUUCCGCGUGUAGCAGUGAAAUGCGUAGAUAUGCGGAGGAACACCGAUGGCGAAGGCAAUCCCCUGGGCCUGCACUGACGCUCAUGCACGAAAGCGUGGGAGCAAACAGG